CAUUUUCAUCAAUCAUCAUAAAUCAAACUUACGUUGCCUGCACGCGCCGAAUCGUAUCGUGUGGUCACCGUUUCUCGCACCUUCUUCUUCUCCUGCGAGUGAAGAUGAUUAGAUACUCUGUUUUCAUGGCGGGCACUUGCACCUCCAUUAGCUCUUCUUCGAUGGUUGAGCUUUCCAGGUUGAUCAACUGAGCAGGAGUUCCUUUCUCUGUUAGGAUCUCCACCAGAAGGUCCAAGACCCGAGACCAUGGAGGCUUUUGAUGUGUUGAUGACAUUUUUGACAUAGUUGAGGCUUUUGCGUUUGUGAGAUCUGAUCAAUCAAACCGAUCAGCUCACAAAGCCGACUGUCAUGUCUGUGAAUGCAUCUUGGAGUUCCGUACCAAAGUAGAAGUACAAAUGAACUAUAUCGUUAUCUUCAUCCACCCUCUGUAGCUUUGUAACAACAAAUGAUUGUUUAGUUUUUGUCUUAAUUCUUCAGAAAUCUUCGUUACCAUGGGUAGAAAAUGGGUAUACGGCAGGAUGUAUACCUUGUUUCACGGCCAAGGAGAGAUCAAAGUUCCAAGUUUACAUAGUUCUCUGAAUAAAAUAAGAACAUAAGUUUUGUGGACGCUUCUCAAUUGUGUUAAGAAAAGAUACUAGCAACUAGAAAGCGCUUGUAACAUUCAAAAGAUUCAUUAAAAAAAUGUAGCAGCAUAGCGUUUUGUCUCUUUGUAACCUACUACUUGAUUUACUUCAGACAGAACACACAGAAAAACAGAGAUUCAUUCCGGGUUACGAAUUAACGGAGAGCUAACAUUUUGCUUCUGAGCAAAAAAAAAAGAAUGUGUUCCCUCCAAGCUAUAUCGAAAAAAAUCCAUGCGAGCUGCAGUCAAGACUCGAAAUAGAUUCUGUUAAACGUUUAAUACCACUGAAGAAAAGAAUAACAAAGUUACCAAGAAUAGAGCAAGUGAUGGGAAAAGACCCUCGUGGAGUAAAGCUGCAUGGCCUCCGAUAUCUUCUUCAUCAACUUUUAGAAUCACUGCGUAGUAACCGUAUACUAUCCCUGAGGGACAUCGCCAAAAGCCUCCAACAAGUGGAACAGAGCCUCAUAACAAUCCACGG